UACAGAGGGUGCAAGCGUUGUUCGGAAUUAUUGGGCGUAAAGAGCGCGUAGGCGGUUUGGUAAGUCAAAUGUGAAAUCCCUCGGCUCAACCAAGGAAGUGCAUCCGAAACUGCUGAGCUUGAGUACGAAAGAGGAUCGCGGAAUUCCCGGUGUAGAGGUGAAAUUCGUAGAUAUCGGGAGGAACACCAGUGGCGAAGGCGGCGAUCUGGGUCGAUACUGACGCUGAGGUGCGAAAGCGUGGGGAGCAAACAGG
rnacentral:rRNA from 1 species